AUCAAUUGCAUAAAGGAAAUAUGAAAUGGAAAGAAAUAAGGGAGACUCCAUUGUUUCUAGGUUGGUCAUCUGAGUAGUCAGUGAAGCACAUAAUCAACAUUAUAAACAAUAAUACUAAAAGAAAAACAGUUUCAGCAUGUGUCUAUUUUUAUUUGAGGUCAAUGUGAGAGUUUGAGUAAAUAAAUUUGAGUUUCUAAAUGUUGAUUUUGAAGUAUAAAUAAUGAUGAUAUCAAAAUGAAAAUAUACAGUAAGUUUUUGGAAAUACAAAUGCAAAUAAGGAAUAGGCAGGAGGCUAAAGAUAAAUAAAUUUGGAAAGUUAAUGACACUGAAGUAGUAGUUUAAGCCUGAAAGAAGAUACCCUUGCUUAAUUAGGCUCAGCAAAUAGACUAAGUCAGAAGGCCAAAAAAAGGAAAUUUGCUCAAGCAAGUAUUUAAUGCCCUAGGAGUACAUGUGGAUUUUAACUGUUUAGCUUUCAUAUAAUUAAUACGGUAAGCUGGUAGUUUAAUAAUAAAAAAAAAUUGCUACUAUGGCAGAUGUUCAUCUGAUGAAUAUUUAUUGAGAAUGCUAUUCACUUACAGAUUCACUCAAAAAAAUAUUGACUGAGGCCCUAGUAUGCACAGACUAGAGGGCAAUGAGAUUGCAAAGCUUUUCAUGAUGAAGAAUGGGAUCCAAAGCCUUCAGCUACUGGCCUAUGGGAUGAGGUGUACAGGCAAGGUUCUCACCGAACCCUUAGAUUUCACUGUUCCUCUCCGCCUCACAGAAGAGCCACGGGUAAGUCACACUUAGAUUUGAGCUCCACUCCCCUGCGUGCAGCUCUCUGAUGCAAACAAACUUUAUGUAUAUGUGUGUAUAUAUAUUCCCAGAAAGGUUCUGGACUCCUAGAAAGAUUCCUCAGUGGUUACAUUGAGAAUCUGCAAUGGGUAGCAGCCAUUAGGGAACUCAAAAGGCCUGGAGCUGAGUCCAUGGCCUAAACCGCCUGGUGGUUUGGGAAAAUAAGAAAAUAAGACAAGAAAUUCAAACCAUUUUGACCACCAAAAUGAAAACUUAACAGGAAAAUAUUGAUUCUCAACACCUUUUUUCGUUCUCCCCAAGAAUGUCUCCCACAGUCUUCACGUCUACUCAGUGGCAUUUAUUUCCAACCACUUGCUUAGGUCAAACAUUUUGAAGUCACCUUGAGUUUCUUUCUUACUCUUNUAGUCUUCACGUCUUACUCAGUGGCAUUUAUUUCCACUUGCUUAGGUCAAACAUUUUGAAGUCACCUUGAGUUUCUUUCUUACUCUUAUACCUCACAGCCAAUCUGUCAAUAAAUCCCAUCAAUUACAUCUUCA
rnacentral:lncRNA from 1 species